GAUGGAAGUUUAUUGCAGAUUCACAGGAGUGCACUCAAGAAGGAAAGAGAGAAGAAGAGGCAAAGCUCCUGGAUGUAUGCUGUGCACAGGGGUCUCAUUGAGACCACUGAGCUGGUCUGGGGACUUCUGAAAGGCUGAGUUUCCUGCCGCAUGCCUACAAGCUGUUGCUGACACAGAGCUAUGAUCCCAUGAACCCACACUGAGACGGGAGUGAAACCUAAGAAACAGGUGUUGAGAAGUCUGUGGCAGAUGUGUGGAUGAUGCUCAAACGUCUGACUUAAGGGCAAAAGGACAAGGACAGGAAACAGUUCGGAUGUCAGCAUCCUGACAGAGAGUGGAGCCCCCAAACGGAAGGGACAAAGCAAAAGCAGUGUGUGUGGAGAACACUCCACACAGCAAGCCUGGAGCGUUGCUACACACACAGUCCUGUCUCUGACUUUAAAAAGACUCAGUGUUUUAAAUUACAUUGAUUGCAUUAAAUGCAUUUCCAGAUUCA